GACCAAAGGUGUGAUUCCGCUAGGAGAUUGGUCUAUAUCCUAUUAGCUAGUUGGUAAGGUAACGGCUUACCAAGGCGAUGAUGGGUACGGGGCGUGAGAGCGUGACCCCGAUCACUGGGACUGAGACACUGCCCAGACGCCUACGGGCGGCUGCAGUCGAGAAUCUUCGGCAAUGGACGAAAGUCUGACCGAGCGACGCCGCGUGUAUGAUGAAGGUCUUCGGAUUGUAAAGUACUGUCGAUAGGGCGGAAAUUUACGGUGGCAAUCCAUCGUAUUUGACCUAUCUUUUGAGGAAGGACGGGCUAAGUUCGUGCCAGCAGCCGCGGUAAGACGAACUGUUCUAACGUUAUUCGGAAUCACUGGGCUUAAAGGGCGCGUAGGCGGUUUUUUAAGCGGGGUCUGAAAUCCCUCGGCUCAACCGAGGAACUGGGCUUCGAACUGGAGAACUAGAGUGAAGUAGGGGUAAGCGGAACUUGCGGUGGAGCGGUGAAAUGCUUUGAUAUCGCAAGGAACACCGGUGGCGAAGGCGGCUUACUGGGUUUCAACUGACGCUCAAGCGCGAAAGCUAGGGUAGCGAACGGGAUUAGAUACCCCGGUAGUCCUAGCCGUAAACACUGAGCGCUUGUUCGAGGGGGAUUUUUUCCUUCUCGGGCGUAGCGAAAGUUUUAAGCGCUCCGCCUGGGGAGUAUGGUCGCAAGGCUGAAACUCAAAGGAAUUGACGGGGGCUCACACAAGCGGUGGAGGAUGUGGCUUAAUUCGAGGCUACGCGAAGAACCUUAUCCUAGGCUUGACAUGCAUGGAUACCCUCCCUGAAAGGGGAGUAAGUUGCUAGCAAUAGUGAAACUUGCACAGGUGCUGCAUGGCUGUCGUCAGCUCGUGUCGUGAGACGUCGGGUUAAGUCCCUUAACGAGCGAAACCCCUGUCGUUAGUUGCCAUCAUUUAGUUGGGUACUCUAACGAGACUGCCUAAGUUAAUGCGGAGGAAGGCGGGGACGACGUCAAGUCCUCAUGGCCCUUACGCCUAGGGCUGCACACGUCCUACAAUGGAUUCCACAAAGGGAAGCGAGGCUGUGAAGCGGAGCAAAUCCCCAAAAAGGAUCCUCAGUUCGGAUUGUAGUCUGCAACUCGACUACAUGAAGCCGGAAUCGCUAGUAAUCGCGGGUCAGCAUACCGUGGUGAAUGUGUUCCUGAGC
rnacentral:rRNA from 1 species